UACAGAGGUCCCAAGCGUUGUUCGGAUUCACUGGGCGUAAAGGGUGCGUAGGCGGUCGGGUAAGUCUGAUGUGAAAUCUCACAGCUUAACUGUGAAACUGCAUUGGAUACUAUUCGGCUAGAGAGUUGGAGGGGGGACUGGAAUUCUUGGUGUAGCAGUGAAAUGCGUAGAUAUCAAGAGGAACACCAGUGGCGAAGGCGAGUCCCUGGACAGCUUCUGACGCUGAGGCACGAAAGCUAGGGGAGCAAACAGG
rnacentral:rRNA from 1 species